AGGGUUUGAUCAUGGCUCAGGAUGAACGCUGGCGGCGUGCCUAAUACAUGCAAGUCGAACGAGGUGCUUUUGUAGCAAUACGAGAGUAUCCUAGUGGCGAACGGGUGAGUAACGCGUUGGUGACCUACCCCAAAGUGUGGGAUAACAGUCCGAAAGGAUUGCUAAUACCGCAUGUGGUCUUCAGGUUUAGAAACUGAUGACUAAAGGAGCAAUUCGCUUUGGGAGGGACCUGCGUCCCAUCAGCUAGUUGGUGAGGUAAUGGCUCACCAAGGCGACGACGGGUAGGGGACCUGAGAGGGUGACCCCCCACAAUGGAACUGAAACACGGUCCAUACACCUACGGGUGGCAGCAGUAGGGAAUAUUGCCCAAUGGACGAAAGUCUGAGGCAGCAACGCCGCGUGCACGAUGAAGGCCUUCGGGUCGUAAAGUGCUUUUCUGGGAGAUGAGAAAGGACAGUACCCCAGGAAUAAGUCUCGGCUAACUACGUGCCAGCAGCCGCGGUAAAACGUAGGAGGCGAGCGUUAUCCGGAUUCACUGGGCGUAAAGCGCGUGCAGGUGGCUUGGUAAGUUAGGCGUGAAAUCUCCCGGCUCAACUGGGAGAGGUCGUCUAAUACUACCGGGCUAGAGAGCAGAAGAGGAAGAUGGAAUUCCCGGUGUAGUGGUGAAAUGCGUAGAUAUCGGGAGGAACACCAGUGGCGAAGGCGAUCUUCUGGUCUGUUUCUGACACUCAGACGCGACAGCUAGGGUAGUAAACGGGAUUAGAGACCCCGGUAAUCCUAGCCGUAAACGAUGUGAACUUGGCGUUGGUGGGUUAAACUCCAUCAGU
rnacentral:rRNA from 1 species